GACGAACGCUGGCGGCGUGCUUAACACAUGCAAGUCGAACGAAGAGCGAUGGAAGCUUGCUUCUAUCAAUCUUAGUGGCGAACGGGUGAGUAACGCGUAAUCAACCUGCCCUUCAGAGGGGGACAACAGUUGGAAACGACUGCUAAUACCGCAUACGAUCUAAUCUCGGCAUCGAGGAUAGAUGAAAGGUGGCCUCUACAUGUAAGCUAUCACUGAAGGAGGGGAUUGCGUCUGAUUAGCUAGUUGGAGGGGUAACGGCCCACCAAGGCGAUGAUCAGUAGCCGGUCUGAGAGGAUGAACGGCCACAUUGGGACGGAGACACGGCCCAGACGCCUACGGGAGGCAGCAGUGGGGAAUCUUCCGCAAUGGACGAAAGUCUGACGGAGCAACGCCGCGUGAGUGAUGACGGCCGUCGGGUUGUAAAGCUCUGUUAAUCGGGACGAAAGGCCUUCUUGCGAAUAGUGAGAAGGAUUGACGGUACCGGAAGAGAAAGCCACGGCUAACUACGUG
rnacentral:rRNA from 1 species